rnacentral:antisense_RNA from 1 species
UGGCGCUGCAGGGCGGGCGGGGUAAAGAAGGGAGCGAGCCCUUCUCAAGCUUGGAAAGUUUCCAGACUGCUGGGCCAGCCUCCUCCCCAGAGGGAAACUGAGGUCCGAUUGAGGUUUCUCCAAGACCGCCCACUCCUGCUCCUGUCCCCAAACCCCUUUCUGCCUAGGGUUCCUGGAAGCCAAGGAAACAGAACGAACUGUUCCCUGGGUGGGCGAGCCACUGCAGAGUACAAAGCUUUCAGGCCGCCUGCCUCAUUAGCACUAAUGGCUGCUCCCUUCCGCCCUGUGUCGUCAGGACUGUCUAUGCCUGGUCUCAUCAGCACAAGGCUGGGCUGAAGAAGUCCCAGGAGUCCUCCCAUGUCCUCUCAGCAACCCAGGCUGGAGCCUACUCCCUGGUGUUGGCAAAGGAAACCGUCUUUGAAGCCAGAGGGAGCCCUGAAUUCAUGCAGAGGAGUUUUUCUACCUUCCAUCUGCUUCUGCAUAUCAUCUUGUCUACUUAAUGCCCCUCCUUCCGGAUUUAUAGAACAGUAUGCAUAAUAUGACCCCAACUGCAUUCCAAAAAAUAGAUGUAGAUGUAAGCUUAGAGAUGCAAAGAAACUUUUUGAGAGAAUUCACUAUGCUUCUCGCGGGUGGUGACACAGUUCAAGGAGGUUCCGUGGGGUGUAAUGUUUAUCUUUCUCUUUUGUCCCUCUGAUCAUUGAAAUGAUGCUUUGUGUGUGUGAACAUGUAUUACUUUUAUAAUUAAAAUAGAAAAAUUAAUUUGAAUGGGACAAAUGCUCGAAGUCAAAGUCACCUGUUAUAACUGCUGUCACUAACAGGGCAACUGUUUGAAAAUGCUGCAGAAACAUGAGAAAUGUUCAUGAAGUGACCCUGUGGAGGCUUCCGGUCACAGGAUCAUGUGAGCGCCACGAUCACCCCAGGGGUGGAGCAGAUGCUAAGUGUUCACCACACCCAAUUCUCUUCCUGGACACACAGGAAGAUGACAUUUCCCAGGCCCUUUGCAGUUAAAGUGAGGUCUAGUGACAGAGGUCUGGCCAAUAAAUAUGGGCAGCAGUGACAUGCCCCACCUCUAGGCCCUAGUCUUUUUUUUAUUUAAGGGUCUGAGUCUUGUUCUGUCACCCAGGCUGGAGUGCAGUGCUGUGAUCAUGACUCACUGCAGCCUCAACCUCCUGUGCUCAAACAAUCCUCCCACCUCAGCCUCCCUAAUAGCUGAUGUCAUAUAGGCAUGAGCCAGUGUGCCUGGCUCAGGCCCUACCCUUAAAAGCAUCCCACCUGAUUCACCAGCCCCCUUCUCCUCUCUCUCAGUAAACUUGGAAACCACGCAUUCCAGAUGGUAUAAUUUGCAGCAUGAUGGAAAAAGCCAGCUCUCCAUGGGAAGCUGGCCAGUCUUCAUUGGAGUACAUUUUUAUUGCAUGAAGCCAAUGAGACUUGAUAUUGUUUAACUCUGUGGUUUCCAAAGUGCGGUCCUUUCGAAGUAUCCAUAAAGUCUACACUAGGUUCACAGUAAUAUUAAGAUGUUAUUUGUCA